GUCGAGCGGAACGAUGCCUAGCUUGCUAGGAGGCGUCGAGCGGCGGACGGGUGAGUAAUGCAUAGGAAUCUGCCCGGUAGUGGGGGAUAACCUGGGGAAACCCAGGCUAAUACCGCAUACGCCCUACGGGGGAAAGCAGGGGAUCUUCGGACCUUGCGCUAUCGGAUGAGCCUAUGUCGGAUUAGCUAGUUGGUGAGGUAACGGCUCACCAAGGCUGCGAUCCGUAGCUGGUCUGAGAGGAUGAUCAGCCACAUCGGGACUGAGACACGGCCCGAACUCCUACGGGAGGCAGCAGUGGGGAAUAUUGGACAAUGGGCGAAAGCCUGAUCCAGCCAUGCCGCGUGUGUGAAGAAGGCCUUCGGGUUGUAAAGCACUUUCAGUGAGGAAGAAAGCCUUGAGGUUAAUACCCUCGAGGGAGGACAUCACUCACAGAACAAGCACCGGCUAACUCCGUGCCAGCAGCCGCGGUAAUACGGAGGGUGCGAGCGUUAAUCGGAAUUACUGGGCGUAAAGCGCGCGUAGGCGGCUUGAU
rnacentral:rRNA from 1 species